AGGAUAAACGCUGGCGGCGUGCCUAACACAUGCAAGUCGAACGUCUCUUCUUUCGGGAAGAGGAGUGGCGGACGGGUGAGGAACACGUGGGAACCUGCCCUUUAGUGAGGAAUACCGGCGAGAAAUCGCCGACAAGACCGCAUAGCCCUCUUUGAUGAGAGUCAAAGAAGGAAAGCUUCGCAAGAGGCGCUAGAGGAGGGGCCUGCGUCCGAUUAGCUAGUUGGUGGGGUAAGAGCCUACCAAGGCGUCGAUCGGUAGCUGGUCUGAGAGGACGAUCAGCCACACUGGGGAUUGAGAACGGCCCAGACUCCUACGGGGGGCAGCAGUGAGGAAUUUUCGUCAAUGGGGGCAACCCUGAACGAGCAACGCCGCGUGCAGGAAGAAGGUUUUCGGAUCGUAAACUGCUUUUCUCGGGGAAGAGAACGGACGGUACCCGAGGAAUCAGCCCCGGCUAACUACGCGCCAGCAGCCGC
rnacentral:rRNA from 1 species